AUUGAACGCUGGCGGCAGGCCUAACACAUGCAAGUCGAACGAGUGGCGGACGGGUGAGUAAUGUCUGGGAAACUGCCUGAUGGAGGGGGAUAACUACUGGAAACGGUAGCUAAUACCGCAUACCAUCGGAUGUGCCCAGAUGGGAUUAGCUAGUAGGUGGGGUAAAGGCUCACCAAGGCGUCGAUCCCUAGCUGGUCUGAGAGGAUGACCAGCCACAAUGGAACUGAGAAACGGUCCAUACUCGUAGGGGAGGCAGCAGUGGGGAAUAUAGCACAAUGGGCGCAAGUCUGAUACAGCCAUGACGCGAGUAUGAAGAAGUCCUGCGUGUUGUAAAGUACUUGCAGCGAGGAGGCGUUACCCGCAGAAGAAGCACCGGCUAACUCCGUGCCAUCAGCCGCGGUAAUAC
rnacentral:rRNA from 1 species